rnacentral:rRNA from 1 species
UACGGAGGGGGCUAGCGUUGUUCGGAAUUACUGGGCGUAAAGCGCACGUAGGCGGCUUUGUAAGUUAGAGGUGAAAGCCCAGGGCUUAACCCUGGAAUUGCCUUUAAGACUGCAUCGCUAGAAUCGUGGAGAGGUGAGUGGAAUUCCGAGUGUAGAGGUGAAAUUCGUAGAUAUUCGGAAGAACACCAGUGGCGAAGGCGGCUCACUGGACGCGUAUUGACGCUGAGGUACGAAAGCGUGGGGAGCAAACAGG